rnacentral:rRNA from 1 species
AUGUGCGAGCUCUUGAGGAUUUCACCUCCAAGCUUAGACUCUCAGAAGACUUGUCUUCCUCCCAAGAUUCCUCUAAAGUUGAAUCUAGUUUCCAUGCUACUUCACACAAAGGAGCUAGGGACAGUGAGACUAUUGGGGACUGGGACCGUGCAUGAUGGACUCGACUAUCUUAAUGAAGGAAGUGAUGAGGUUGCUUUUGUGUUAUGCUUGUCUCCUAGUCAAGAACUACUACUAUACCAUCACAGGCUUGGGCAUCUCUCUUUUGCUACACUGUUUCUUAUUUACCCCUCUCUUUUCAAAUUGUCUCCUAGGGAGAUCCUUGCAUGUGAUGCUUGUGAAUUGGCUAAACAUACAAGGGGUUUAUAUGCUAGUAUAGGAUUAAGAAGUGGCAAAACCAUUUGGAAUGAUUCAUUCAGACAUUUGGGGACCCUGUGA